GACGUAGGGCGCGAGCGUUGUCCGGAUUUAUUGGGCGUAAAGAGCUCGUAGGCGGCUCAUUGCGUCAACCGUGAAAACCUGCAGCUUAACUGUGGGCUUGCGGUUGAUACGGGUGGGCUGGAGUUCGGUAGGGGAGACUGGAAUUCCUGGUGUAGCGGUGAAAUGCGCAGAUAUCGGGAAGAACACCAGUGGCAAAGGCGGCUCUCUGGGACGUUACUGACGCUGAGACGCGAAAGCGUGGGGAGCAAACAGG
rnacentral:rRNA from 1 species